UGGGGAAUUUUGCACAAUGGGGGAAACCCUGAUGCAGCGACGCCGCGUGAUUUAGAAGGCCUUCGGGUUGUAAAAAUCUUUUGUAUGGGAAGAAAAUGACAGUACCAUACGAAUAAGGACCGGCUAAUUACGUGCCAGCAGCCGCGGUAAUACGUAAGGUCCGAGCGUUGUCCGGAAUCAUUGGGCGUAAAGGGUACGUAGGCGGAUAAGCAAGUUAGAAGUGAAAUCCUAUAGCUCAACUAUAGUAAGCUUUUAAAACUGCUCAUCUUGAGGUAUGGAAGGGAAAGUGGAAUUCCUAGUGUAGCGGUGAAAUGCGCAGAUAUUAGGAGGAAUACCGGUGGCGAAGGCGACUUGCUGGCCAUAUACUGACGCUGAGGUACGAAAGCGUGGGUAGCAAACAGG
rnacentral:rRNA from 1 species